rnacentral:tRNA from 1 species
GCCGGGGUGGCGAAAUUGGUAGACGCAAGGGACUUAAAAUCCCUCGGGGCGCAAGCUCCAUGCCGGUUCGAUUCCGGCCCUCGGCACAA